rnacentral:rRNA from 1 species
GAUGAACGCUGGCGGCGUGCCUAAUACAUGCAAGUCGAGCGAACAGACGAGGAGCUUGCUCCUCUGACGUUAGCGGCGGACGGGUGAGUAACACGUGGAUAACCUACCUAUAAGACUGGGAUAACUUCGGGAAACCGGAGCUAAUACCGGAUAAUAUAUUGAACCGCAUGGUUCAAUAGUGAAAGACGGUUUUGCUGUCACGUAUAGAUGGAUCCGCGCCGCAUUAGCUAGUUGGUAAGGUAACGGCUUACCAAGGGAACGAUGCGUAGCCGACCUGAGGGGGUGAUCGGCCACACUGGAACUGGAACACGGUCCAGACUCCUACGGGAGGCAGCAGUAGGGAAUCUUCCGCAGUGGGCGAAAGCCUGACGGAACAACGCCGCGUGAGUGAUGAAGGUCUUCGGAUCGUAAAACUCUGUUAUUAGGGAAGAACAAAUGUGUAAGUAACUAUGCACGUCUUGACGGUACCUAAUCAGAAAGCCACGGCUAACUACGUG